UCUUAUGGAUUAGCAAAAGAAGUGGUUUCUUGAAAUGGAAUUUGCUCUUGGUGAAGGUGUUGGGAA
rnacentral:pre_miRNA from 1 species